rnacentral:sRNA from 1 species
GGACACUUGAACCUUGGGAAAGACUCUUUCCUUGCAAGUCAGAUUUCAUUUCACAGAUUCCUCUCUCUCUAGAACAGAAACCUUGCCCUAACUCAAGUGCUCUGACUUCUCUCUAGGUUUCCAGCCAUUUCCACCGAUUGAAUCCUAAUUUGGUGGUGUUUUCUUGUUCUUGGAGUCAAGAGCUACGAAACCAUCCGAUUGGUUUUGCGUUCCAGCGGGUUAUGUACAGUUUCGCACGGUGUAGGGGUACUGUUAGAGCAUCUGUGAACUGUGUUGAGCAACCCACCAGAGGAGAAUGAGGCCUCAGUGGAGAAUGUCCUGGAGGGGAAUGAGGAAGCAACUUCUUAGUCUCUCUAGGAAUUCCAUAGCUUUCCAUGUAUCUGAACAAUUCCAGUUCUUGUAUUUUGAAGUACUUUAGUAUUCCACGUUUUAAAAUUUCUUCUACAUUCCGGAUUACUGUAAUCCUUAAAUUUUAAUUUCUUAGAACC